GCCUGGGCAGCGGGUCCUGCUAGCAUCGGGCGGCGGCGGUCGGUGCUGCCAGAAACAGCCGCGGCGGCUGCUCCAGACACCGGUGGCGGCGGCGGCGGCGACCCCGCGGCAGGCGCAGAGAUGUGGCCCCUGGUUGCGGCGCUGUUGCUGACUUCGGCGUCCUGCGGAUCCGCUCAGCUACUAUUUAACAAAACAAAAUCUGUAGAAUAUACUGUGUGCAAUGAGACUAUUUCCAUCCCGUGCUUUGUCAUUAAUAUGGAGGCAGAAAACACAAAUGAAGUGUACGUGAAGUGGAAAUUUAAAGGAAAAGACAUUUACACCUUUGACGGAUCUGACAACCGUUCCACUCACGACUCUGCUUUUAAGACUUCAGGAAUCAAGAUCUCAGAAUUACUAAAAGGAGAUGCCACCUUGAUGAUGCAUCAGAGUAAUGCUGUCCCAGGGAACUACACUUGCGAAGUAACAGUAUUGAGCAGAGAAGGUGAAACAACGAUAGAAGUAAAAUACCGUAUUGUGUCAUGGUUUUCUCCAAAUGAGAAUAUUCUCAUUGUUAUUUUCCCAGUUUUUGCUCUACUUCUGUUUUGGGGACAGUUUGGAAUUAAAACACUUCAGUAUAGAUCCGGUCGCAUGGAUGAGAAAACCAUUGGUUUACUUGUUGCUGGACUGUUGGUCACCAUAAUCAUCAUUGUUGGAGCCAUUCUUUUCGUCCCAGGUGAAUAUUCAGUAAAGAAUGCUACUGGACUUGGCUUAAUUGUAACUUCUACAGGAUUAUUAAUAAUACUUAACUACUACGUGUUUAAAACAGCUUUUGGGAUUACCUCCUUCGUCAUUGCCCUACUGAUUAUUCAAGUGCUGGUCUAUGUACUUGCUGGGGUUGGACUGAGUCUAUGUAUUUCAGCUUGUACACCAGUGCAUGGCCCUGUCCUGAUUUCAGGUUUGGGUAUCUUUGCUCUAGUACAAUUACUUGGAUUAAUUUAUAUGAAAUUUGUGGACUUCAGAGAGACAACAUCGGUCAGUGAAAAUUAAGAAGAGCCGAGGUCCAGGAAAGUUGGUCUUUAGCUUCCAAUCAGAAGACCAUACAACCUCCUAGAAAAGCCGUAGAAGAACCCCUUAAUGAAUAACUGAUAAUGAAGUGAUGGACUGUGAUUGGAAAGUAGUAAGAAGUGAGAGGAAUACACUUGUGUUUAAGCACCAUGGCCUUGAUUUAUCGUUGGGGAGAAGAAACCAAGAGAAGUAACCGAGAGAAAGUUGUCAUGAUGGGAGAAAAAAGUCCUUGACCCUCAAGUGAUUGUUACAGUUACAUUUUUAUUCAAAGCAGCUGUCAUUUAGUUAAUAAAAGAAUUAUAAUGUGUUGUGUGCCCAAUUGAGAUCCAGUUUUUGUUACUUUAUUCGAUUAGGGCCAAAAGUAGAAUGGGCAGCUUCCAAGAAUGAUGCUUUUAAAAUCCUGGGACUUCUAGACUCUAGGUCACCAUUUUAGAUUAGUUCAGGGUGAACAGUAUGUCGCAGUAACCUGGGGGUUAUCCUGAGCUAUCAGUGAAAAACAGUGGCUUCCAUCAAACCUUAGCAAACUCAGGUUCACAACAGCUUUGUCAAUUAUAGUAUUAGCUGAAUAAUGUGUCUGCCACGUUGGGGCCAAGGGAAGAGUGAAUUGAGUACAGACAGGAGUUUGAUUGGGAACAUGUUGUAUGUCACAUACGUGUGAUGUGGUAUUGAUGGAGAUAGUGGUCUUCAUUCUUGGGGGUUGCCUUUCACACAUUCCCUGUUCAACAUACAGUGUAAUAAAUCCUUUGCAGAUUUAGGAUACUUUGAUUGACGGAUGUGUUUUUCUUUUAUUCACACAACUCUUUAAACCCUGUCUUGUCCUCCUGUUAUUUGCUUCUGCUGUACAAGAUGUAGCACCUUUUCUCCUCAUUGAACAUGGUCCAGUGACACGGUAACAUCAGUUGCAGGAAGGAGCCAGACUUGUUCUCAGAGCACUAUGUUCACACUUUUCAGCAAAAAUAGCUAUGGUUGUAACAUAUGUAUUCCCUUCCUCUGAUUUGAAGGCAAAAAUCUACAGUGUUUCUUCACUUCUUUUCUGAUCCAAGGCAUGAAAAAGCAAGAUUGAAAUUUGAACUAUGAGUCUCCUGCAUGGCAACAAAAUGUGUGUCACCAUCAGGCCACCAGGCCAGCCCUUGAAAGGGUGGUUUUAUUACUGUUGUAUCUGUGUUGCAUGAUGAACACUCAUCACCUUCCUCCUGUAGUCCUGCCUCGUACUCCCCUUCCCCUAAGAUUGAAAAAUAAAACGAAACCCACAUUUCCUAUCCCAGUUAGAAGAAAAUUAACGUUCUGACAGUUGUGAACGCCUCAAGUACUUUUAGACUUUUAGCACUCGUUUUUACCUCGUUUGUGGGUGUGUGUUUGUAUGUGCGUAUGUAUAAGAUAGGCACAUGCAUCUUCUAUAUGGACAAAAGUGGGCUACCUACAGGAGAGCAAAGGUUCAUUUUGUGCUUUUAGUAAAAAACAUUUAAAAAUAAAGAUCUUUAUUGGCUGGAAUUAUAUUUGAUGCAAAUAUUUGAUCACUCAAAACUUUAAAAACUGCUAGGACAUUUGUCACGCUUUUUGACUGCUCACCAAUACCCUCUAAAAAUACGCAAUUCUUCCUGUUUGUGUAAUAAGACAUCCAUAUUUAUAGUUGCGUUAGUAGUUAUUUCUCAGUCCACUGACUGUUUCCAUGUGCCUCUUUUAUGCUGAAUUAAUUGUCAUAUUUCAUGUUGGGACCAAGUGGUUUGCCCUUGGCAAACCUAAAUUUAUGACCUGCUAAGGCCUCUCCAAAAAUCGAAUACACUAGCAAGACUGCUCUUCUU